UGCGUCAAGUUUCGACAAGUUAGUUGGAGGAUAUGAAUGCCGUGUCAUUCGUUUGAAAGGUGUUUGCUCUUUCUAUUGGUACAGGUUUCUAGUCUUUUGGUUGUUGACCAAAGUUGUUACAUGCUAUGCACACACUGGUGAAGUCACGAUGGGCGGGUAGUCAGCAGCUGGUAUCACGAUGACUUUAUAACAAAGAGCAGACCAGGGUGAAGCAGAAGUGACUCAAAACGCAGAGCCUUACAAUUCAUCUCUUAUCAUGAAAGCCUUCUUUGUCUUGCUAUUGGUGGCCCUGAUUGCGCCCCAGUCCCUCUCGUAUACGGGCAGCUGCUACGCCCCGCCCAUCGUCUACGGCUUGGCGUGCUCGGCCAGCGGUAGCGUCAUCGGCAGCAACGGCUUCAGCCUCCAGUACUCCAUCAGUUUGACGGGCGACACGGUGGUAUGCUGUGAGGCGAAGGGCUGCGGCACGGGGUCAAGCUGUGGGAGUUGGGGAUGGUAUGACAUCGGAUGCACUUCCGGCGGGUCGAUGUCUCAGCAAAUGCAAUGGGGGAAUAAUGCCGCGAAGCCAGAAAUCAAGUGCAGAGCACUGGGGCUUGGCUCCACUAUUAAAUGGAGCGCCUAAAAACAGCUCGGUCCAUUGCCUCAUAUGGGGGUGAACAGGGGCAGUUUUCAUAAGUGACGACUUGGGUAUCUGUGGUCUUAUUCUGUGAAUAAAAAUGUGGUGGAUUCA